rnacentral:rRNA from 1 species
GACGAACGCUGGCGGCGUGCCUAAUACAUGCAAGUCGAGCGAAGUUUUUCUGGUGCUUGCACUAGAAAAACUUAGCGGCGAACGGGUGAGUAACACGUAAAGAACCUGCCUCAUAGACUGGGACAACUAUUGGAAACGAUAGCUAAUACCGGAUAACAGUAUUUCUCGCAUGAGAGAUAUUUAAAAGUUGGUUAUGCUAACACUAUGAGAUGGCUUUGCGGUGCAUUAGCUAGUUGGCGGGGUAAAGGCCCACCAAGGCGACGAUGCAUAGCCGACCUGAGAGGGUGAUCGGCCACACUGGGACUGAGACACGGCCCAGACUCCUACGGGAGGCAGCAGUAGGGAAUCUUCCGCAAUGGGCGAAAGCCUGACGGAGCAACGCCGCGUGAGUGAAGAAGGAUUUCGGUUCGUAAAGCUCUGUUGUUAGGGAAGAAUGGAUAUGUAGUAACUAUACAUGUAAGAGACGGUACCUAACCAGAAAGCCGCGGCUAACUACGUG